AGGGAAGCUGUUGGGAGGUACCGAUUUUCCUCAGGCAAUAAAGAUGACGCUGUCCUGGACUGUAGUGUGGCAUUAAUACAUUCUGCAACAAAUAGUUCAGCUGAGGGAUAACAAGACACCAACAAGUUAGGCAACAGAAAAGGUGGCUUCCAUCAGCUUGUCGUUCGUGGAGCAUUGUCUUAUGGGACUGUGGAAAAAGAGAGGCAAACAGCUUGCUCGGAAGCACCCAGGGGAGCUCUGCACUCCCAUCAGACCCACAGCUGCCUAGCAGCCCCACAGAGUUCAUGAAACAGAUGCAGAACAUAGAAGAACGGGAGUCUUGUUCCCGUGCACUGAACAAGAGAAAUCCAGAAAACUGGGCCUGCUGCUCGGUCUGGAGAAGUGGAAGUCUGAUGUGUACGGCAUCCAAGAGCAGUGUAUUUGCUUAAUGCACAGCCUCAUUUCCACGACAUUCACGAGAAAACAAAUACAGAAGGUAAAGAGAGAAAAGGAGAUGGAAGGA
rnacentral:lncRNA from 1 species